GGGUGAGGGAGUCCUGGACUAGGGGGUGUCCGGACAGCCGGACUAUCAAUAUCCGCCGGACUCCCAGACUACGAAGAUAGAAGAUUGAAGACUCCGGCUCGUGUCCGGAAGGUACUUUCCUUGGCGUGGAAGGCAAGCUUGGCGAUACGGAUAUGUAGAUCUCCUACCAUUGUAACCGACUCUGUGUAACCCUAGCCUCUCCGGUGUCUAUAUAAACCGGAGGGCCUUAGUCCAUAGGACGAACAUUACAUCUCAACAAUCAUACCAUAGGCUAGCUUCUAGGGUUUAGCCUCCUUGAUCUCGUGGUAGAUCUACUCUUGUACUACCCAUAUCAUCAAUAUUAAUCAAGCAGGAUGUAGGGUUUUACCUCCAUCGAGAGGGCCUGAACCUGGGUAAAAACAUUGUGUCCCUCGUCUCCUGUUACCAUCCACCUAGACGCACAGUUUGGGACCCCCUACCCGAGAUCCGCCGGUUUUGACACCGACAUUGGUGCUUUCAAUGAGAGUUCCUCUGUGUCGUCACCGAUAGGCUCGAUGGCAUCUUCAACCAUCAACACUGUCCAGGGUGAGACUUUUCUCCCCGGACAGAUCUUCAUAUUCGGCGGCUUUGCACUACGGGCCAAUUCUCUUGGCCAUCUAGAGUAGAUCGAAAGCUACGCCCCUGGCCGUCAGGUCAGAUUUGGAAGUUUGAACUUCACGGCCGAUGACCGCGGAGAUUUGAUCUUCGACGGACUCGAGCCACAGCCAAGCGCGCCGCACUGUGACGAUGGGCAUGAUCUAGCUCUGCCGCCGGACAGUGCUUUGGAGGCCGCACUCGAACCCGUUCCGGCUACUAGCCCGGAGCCGGUUGCCCAUGACGGGGGCCGGUGGAUAGACGCCGCCCUGGGGGCUUCAACAUCUAUGGCGAUGGAGCCGAAUACCAAUCUCGUCCCCUGCGAAACUCAUGAUCCCGAGACGCCGGACUCCUCGCCGGACUCUGAGCCUCCCGCGCCCCUGCCAAUUAAACCGGAUUGGGCGCCGGUUAUGGAAUUCACCGCCGCGGACAUCUUUCAGCACUCGCCUUUCGGCGAUAUCCUGAAUUCUCUGAAGCAUCUCUCGCUAUCAGGAGAAUCCUGGCCGGAUUAUGGCCAGGACGGUUGGAGUUCAGACGACGAAGAAAUUCAGAGCCCACCCACCACCCAUUUUGUAGCCACUGUCGAAGAUCUAACCGACAUGCUAGACUACGACUCCGAUGACAUGGAUGCUAUGGACGAUGAUGCCGGAGACGAACAGGACCCAGCACCCAUGGGGCACUGGAAGGCCACCUCGUCAUAUGACGUCUACAUGGUGGAUACCCCAAAAGAAGGGGAUGGCGAAAAAGCAGCGGAGGAAGAUUCUCUAAAGAAACAGCCUAAACGCCGACGUCAGCGGCACCGCUCUAAAACCCGCCACAACAAGAAUGAAGAUUCCGGCACAGGAAAUAACAAUACCCCAGAGAGUGCCGAAGACAAACCCCUCCAGCAAAACUCAGCGCAGGAGGAUGCAGAAGCAAGCCCUCACGAAGGGGCGGCAGAAGAAAAGGUUGAGGAUCACAACUAUAUACCUCCCUCCGAAGACGAAACAAACCCCAAUAACGACGAACUCGAGGAGCCCGUCGAACAAGAGCUUUUCAAACGCAGGAUCAUCGCUACAGCAAGAAGCCUGAAGAAGGAAAAACGGAACCUCAACACAGCGGAAGACGCGCUCCGAAUAAGAUGGAGCAAAAUACUCAAGACUGCAGAUAAACACGGCAACGGCCACCAAUCGAAGAGCUACCCAAAGCGCAAGCUGCUCCCAGAGUUCGACGAGGAGGCCAUAAAGCCCCCACCGUCCAACGGCCCAGCCAGGUCCAUCUACGGACCCAAAAAGACAGCCCCAAUAAGCAAAGGAACACGUCAAGUAUCCGAUGAUAGCGGCACGUACAAGUACAGGGGCGCCGCACACCCAUUAUGCUUCACCGACGAGGUGCUGGAUCAUGAAUUCCCAGCAGGGUUUAAACCCAUAAACAUAGAAGCUUACGAUGGAACAACAGACCCUCGAGUCUGGAUAGAAGACUGCAUACUGCAUAUACAUAUGGCCAGAGGAGAUGAUCUCCACGCCAUAAAAUAUCUACCCCUCAAGCUUAAAGGGCCAGCCCGUCAUUGGCUCAAAAGCCUCCCAGAAAAUACUGUUGGAAGUUGGGAAGAGCUCGAGGAAGCGUUUAGAGCAAAUUUUCAAGGGACUUAUGUCCGGCCUCCGGAUGCAGAUGACCUAAGUCACAUAACUCAACAGCCCGAAGAGUCAGCGCGGAAAUUCUGGAACAGGUUCCUUACCAAAAAGAACCAAAUAGUCGACUGUCCGGACGCCGAAGCCUUAGUAGCUUUUAAGCACAAUGUCCGAGACGAAUGGCUCGCCAGACACCUCGGUCAAGAGAAACCGAGGACAAUGACCGCAUUAACAAGCCUCAUGAACCGCUUCUGUGCAGGAGAGGAUAGCUGGCUGGCAAGAUGCAGCACCAGCGACCCAAGUACAUCCGAGAUAAGAGAUGGAAAUGGAACAUCACGGCGCAGAAAAGAGCAGCGCCGGAAUAAAGAGAAAAGCCCAAAGAGCACGGCAGUCAACGCCGGAUUUAAAAGCUCACGACCAAUAGUAAAACUCAGCCCCUCAAGGACGACAGCGACGAAUUGUCUAACCUACACAAAAUUUUGGGUCGGAUAUGUCAAAUCCACAGUACCCCCGGAAGGCCCGCAAAUCACACCCACAGGGAUUGUUGGGUUUUCAAACAGUCCGGCCAAUUAAACGCCGAACACAAGGGGCUCGACGCGUCAAGCGAAGAAGAUAAACCCCACCAGCAGGGCACCGGAAAACAAAAGACUUUCCCACAAGGGGUCAAAGCAGUAAACUCACUUCAUGUGAGGACACGGAAAAACAGUGCGGCACUUCCUAAAAAGAGCUUCGCACGGUCUAGCCCAGCAAACCAUGGAGAUUGGAUAUCAAAACCAAUCACUUUCGACCACCUGGAUUAUUCCAGAAGUGUUCAAAACGCGGGACGGACUCCCCUGAUAUUGAAUCUGGUAAUAGACGGACUACAACUCACAAACGUCCUAAUGGACGGAGGCAGUGACUUAAACCUGCUAUACUCAAACACAAUCCGUCGGAUGGGGAUAGACCCUACCAGAAUUCGACACAGCCGCACUUCCUUCAAAGGAGUUACGCCAGGCCCUUACGCCAAGUGCACAGGCUCGAUAUUACUAGAAGUCGUGUUCGGUUUGCCGAACAACUUUCGACGCGAAAAGUUAAUUUUCCAUAUCGUCCCAUUCAAAAGUGAAUAUCAAGCACUAUUGGGACGAAAGGCUUUUGUCCGCUUCAACUCCAUACCAUAUUACGCGUCUCUUACACUUAAGAUGUCCGGUCCACAUGGCGCCAUUUCAGUGCGCGGGUCAUUUAAAGACCCCGGACUCGGAUAGACGAAUCCGGACUCAGCAGGCUAGGGGCUCCCUAGCCGCAUACCCUCUCACAAGGGGCUGCGCGCACAACUAACCGCGGUUUCAUAUAAACCUAGCUUUAAUCAUUUACACUUAUUAUUUUGCAUAUUUUUCGCACGAACUGUUUCUAAAACUAAAGUGUUCUUCUCUUUCUACAGAUGAACAACGUGCGUACCCGUCCAGGAUAACGGCGCAACGGAGACACAGGCGCAAACGUGCAGUAGGGACCCGUCGCAAGGAUUCUUUUCAGAUUAAGACCCUACGUAGACCUUUUUAUUACUGUCUCUUGUUGUUAAAUCUCCCUCGGCUUCUCCCUAUAGCCAAAGCGGAGCCUGACGCUUUGGCAUCGGCCGCGUCAGAAGACAAAUGCCCGUACCUGGACACAAGGGGCUUAGGGCAUAAUUCUGCCUGUUAUCAUAAAGUCCGAACACCUUCGGGAGUGUUCGGCGUCUCAAGUUAGGCAUUAUAUGCAUCAGCUCCGAAUCAUGUCUUUGGUCAAAUGUUGGGUUUGCCCGACUCCUGUGUUUUGCUGCCUUACGUUCCGUAUCACCUGGCUAACGCGGCACCAGGAGAACUACUGCGAUUGUGCCCCAGUUCGGCUGGGUGAGCACCUCAGUAGAGAAAGCCGAAAACUGACUGUCAUGAUAUAGCGAGAGUCUGGUCAGCCACUUGAUCGACUACCAGAAUGUUUAGAAUUCCCCGCCUUGACGAAGGACCGCUUCCCGGUCAGGCACAUACGCACCCCGAAUACGGAGAUGUGCGGUGUCAUUAGGGGCUAUAUCGUAGCCCCACCCUUGAGCUCCAUUGGCUAAGUGAAAGAAAUAAAGCACCAUAGUCCGGAUUGCCUCGUUCGCUACGCUACCACCUCCUUAUAACAGGACCGAGACGUCGGAUUAAGUGUGAAAAAGCGCUAUUUUGCGAACACCCCAGCACCUUGUGCAAGGGGGCUGAAGCCGAAGACUGCAUCUUUCAGGUUAUACACAAGUAUACGCAAACGGCCGCACGGGAGAAGUUUUUACUACUUGGAAGCACAAGUAUAAAAAGCAUUCAUACUAUAAUCAUUAAUUUACAAGGUAUUGCGUUCAUUUGAACGUUACAUUCUUUGAGCACUGCGCCUCUACUUUACGAGCACCGCGCAUGACUUCUCCGAAGUAGUGCUCGGCAGGGAGCCGGCUUCUAUCCGGACCCUGGGAAACAACGGCGGUGGUAUCCAUCUCCGGAUAAUGCACCUUCACACGAGCAAGGGCCAUCCGCGCCCCCUCGAUGCAGGCCGACCGCUUCAUCUCCCUUAUAUGCGGCACCGCACCAAGGAAUUGCUGCAAUAAGCCAAAGUAGCUCGUCGCCCUGGAUCUUUCUGGCCAGACAUGGGCCACGAUGUCAGUCAUGGCCAGUCCGGACAAUCUAUUCAGUUCGGCCCAUUCGGCCAACCUGUCCGUCAGAGGAAGGACGCGAUCCGGGCUGUGGAAUUGAGACCAAUACAACUCUUCCGCCUCGUGAUCCCCUUGGCUCUGGAAGUGUUUAACGGCAUAAGCCGCACUCACAGCCAAAUCCAAGUACGGAUCCUCCGAAUUCCACUGCCGCUCAAAUUGAGCGUACUUGGCAUCCAUAAAACGGCGACGCGUGAGAAACGGCUUGCCAGCCACGAUUUCUCCGGCUUGGCGCAGCUCCUCCUUCAUAGCCCGCAUUGCAGAACGGGCAUCCUUGGCUUCGGCGGCGGCCUUCUUCAGGUCUUCCCGCCCCGAUAGGCGCUCCUUUUCAAGAGCCUCGCUACGGUCGGUAGCAUCCUUUAAAUUCUUGGCCAAUUCGGCCACCUCCGCCCUGCUUAGGCAGUGCGCAACCUUUUCGGCUUUCAACUCUUCGGCCGCCCUCACAGCAGCCGCAUCACUCCUUCGGGCUUGCUCCUUAGCUUGUGCAAGCUCGGCCCGAAGGAUCUCCAUAGCAGCAGCACUGUCUGUAUAAACAGCAUAUAACUUAUCAGAAGAGGGCUUUAACCCACUCAAUAAAGCGGCUGCGGAGAAUUUAUUUACCUUGCGACUCGUCAAGUCGCUGAUUGACAAGGGCGAUAUCAGCAUCUGCCAUGUCCAGUUGUCGACUCAGUUCAGCAAACUGAUUAGUCCGGCUGGCCCCCGGACUAUGCGCCACCUGUAUCAGAACGGCGGUAUUCAUUACCUGAGUUGUUUAGAUUUUCGAUCCUCGGCACGCUGUCAUCUUCGACAACCUACCGAGUCUCAGGGGCUACUAUCUAUACAGGGCGCAUUUUUUAUAUGCACAAACUGUUAGAACAACAAAGGGGUGCGCUAUUUUCGUAUACCUCAAAUCCCGCCAGCAAGCUCAUGGCGGCGUCACGCAAUCCGCUUUCAGCGGACGAAAUCCUUCCCAUCACCAUACGCAUUAACGCACGGUGGUCUUCUGAAAUGGACGCCCUCUCAAGCAAACUCUUCAGUUCUCCCGGCCGGACUCUGGUGGGUGUUGAACUCUUUGGCCCCUCCGGACUCGGGAACGCCCUCCGCGACGACACUUCGGGCUCGCCUGCCUCAUCUGGCGGCGCGGCAGACGGAGGCGUAUCGCUCUCCAUCAUCUCCGGAAGAAGAUCCCCCGAUGAACUCAUCUGAGACGGCUGCAGAUCCGAACUGCGAUAUAAAUAUUUCGGUUACCUACAGAAGCAUAAACGAAGGUAUUCCCUUAUCUCCCCCAUUCAUACUCACGGCUCGUUGGAGGGCUGGCCCUUCGGCGAUGAUUGCGCGUCAGGAUUCUCUCCGGACGCCAGACCCCCCGGUGAGGAUUUCUUCCCACGCUUAGGGGAUUUAACCUCCGGAUCUCCGGAGGUGGUCCUCUUCUCCCUCCGAAGGGAGGGGUCCUUGGUUCCCUCCUCUUCGGCCGCCCCUUCGGGCGAAGUAUUAGCUCCUUUAUCUCCCCCGUCGCCCCCCUCUAUGGGCGCAACCUCCAACAUUCUGACCAGCACGGGCUCCAGUGCGGUCUCUGGGAGGGGGGCCGGACACCUUAUCAACCUUGAUUGUGCCACCCAUUCCUGUAAAGAAUAAAGGGUCAGGAGACGAUCUUUUGAAAGGCAUACAAAUAGAAUGUCCGGGCUUUGAGCUAUUUACUUGAGUAUCCGGGCGAUCGCGGCUUAGUCCCGCAUCCUCGGCCAAAUUCGGACACGCCACCUGCGGUCCGAAGAACAGCUCGUACAUCUCCGAGGGUGUCGCACCCAUGAAAUGCUGGAGGAUACGAGGUCCCUCCGGAUUGAAUUCCCAUAAACGAAGAGGACGACGUUUGCAGGGUAGGAGGUGCCUAGUUAGCAUGACCUGCAUCACCUUGACCAGGUCAAUCUCCCCUGUUUGGAGGUCUCGAAUCCGGCCCUGCAGUGCGGGCACGUCCUUGGACGGCCCCCAGUUGAGCCCUUGGUUGACCCACGACAUCAGCUGCCGUGGAGGUCCCGGGCGGAAAGAGGGCGGCGGCUUUUGCUUGCUGCCCCUAGGAACGGUGAUGUAAAACCACUCCUGCUGCCACAAUCUCUGUUCCUCUUGGAAGGAACCUUCGAGCCACGGGGCGUCGACCUUCCUGCUUAUGGUCGCCCCGCCACACUCCGCUUGGCGCCCCCCGAUCAUCUUCGGCUCCACCUUAAAUGUUUUCAGCCACAGGCCGAAGUGGGGGAUGACGCGGAGGAAGGCUUCGCAGACAAUGAUUAAUGCGGAGAUAUGGAGGAUGGACUCCGGAGCCAAGUCGUGGAAGUCCAGCCCGUAGUAUAACAGGAGCCCCCUCACGAAAGGAUCCGUCGGGAAGCCUAAUCCCCGACGGGGGUGAGAUGCGAAAACGACGUAUUCGCCGGGCUCGGGGGCUGGCACGGCCUGCCCUGGGACAGGCAACCUGUGCGAAACUUCGUAGGCCAGGUACUUGGCCUCACGCAACUUCAAUAUGUCCUCCUCCGUGACAGAGGAGGGCAUCCACCGGCCCUGGAGGUCGGAGCCGGACAUUGUUGUGGAUCCGAAGCGCUCGAAUCUGAAGCUCUAGGUGUUGGAACUGGGAGCAGAGGAAAGAUUCGAUGCGAGGUUGAAAGACAAGGACAGGCCUUGGUCCUCUUAUAAAGGGGGAAGAAAUACCAAGGGCCGUCUCCGUGACCGUUUGGGAUUCCCCUUCGAUAGAGGAGGCGUGGCGACGGGAACGGUUGGGUUACCCACGCACGUAUUGAUGAGGAUCCCGGAAUAAAAGGGAACACGACCUCUGCUUCGACAGGACGUGCCAAGGAAACCGCUUCGCUAAACGUGCUGAGGCGGAAUAAUAAAAACAAUUCAAAACAAAGGCUUGGCUGCGGUGUGAUGUCACGCCGCAUAAAUACGUCAGCAGAUUGAGCUAAGUGUAUUUUAUUCUCUCUACGUUGGAAUGUGGAAUUUAUUUUGCAGAGCCGGACACUAUCCUGGUGUUCAUUAUCUUCUCCGGAUUAUUCAAGGAGGGGAACCCGCCUUGCAAUGCCGAACAUUAUGCACGCCGGACUUAUCGUCAUUGAAGACUGGUUCAGGGGCUACUGAGGGAGUCCUGGACUAGGGGUUGUCCGGACAGCCGGACUAUCAAUAUCCGCCGGACUCCUAGACUACGAAGAUAGAAGAUUGAAAACUCCGGCUCGUGUCUGGAAGGUACUUUCCUUGGCGUGGAAGGCAAGCUUGGCGAUACGGAUAUGUAGAUCUCCUACCAUUGUAACCGACUCUGUGUAACCCUAGCCUCUCCGGUGUCUAUAUAAACCGGAGGGCCUUAGUCCAUAGGACGAACAUUACAUCUCAACAAUCAUACCAUAGGCUAGCUUCUAGGGUUUAGCCUCCUUGAUCUCGUGGUAGAUCUACUCUUGUACUACCCAUAUCAUCAAUAUUAAUCAAGCAGGACAUAGGGUUUUACCUCCAUCGAGAGGGCCUGAACCUGGGUAAAAACAUUGUGUCCCUCGUCUCCUGUUACCAUCCGCCUAGACGCACAGUUCGGGACCCCCUACCCGAGAUCCGCCGGUUUUGACACCGACA
rnacentral:lncRNA from 1 species